rnacentral:rRNA from 1 species
GACGAACGCUGGCGGCGUGCUUAACACAUGCAAGUCGAACGGAAAGGCCCCUUUGGGGGUACUCGAGUGGCGAACGGGUGAGUAACACGUGAGUAACCUGCCCUUGACUUCGGGAUAACUUCAGGAAACUGGGGCUAAUACCGGAUAGGAAUCCUUGCUGCAUGGUGGGGGUUGGAAAGCUUCGGCGGUUUUGGAUGGACUCGCGGCUUAUCAACUUGUUGGUGGGGUAGUGGCUUACCAAGGCUUUGACGGGUAGCCGGCCUGAGAGGGCGACCGGCCACAUUGGGACUGAGAUACGGCCCAGACUCCUACGGGAGGCAGCAGUGGGGAAUAUUGCACAAUGGGCGGAAGCCUGAUGCAGCAACGCCGCGGGCGGGAUGACGGCCUUCGGGUUGUAAACCGCUUUCAGCAGGGGCGAAGCUUGUGGUGACGGUACCUGCAGAAGAAGCACCGGCUAACUACGUG